rnacentral:rRNA from 1 species
UACAGAGGGUGCGAGCGUUAAUCGGAGUUACUGGGCGUAAAGAGCGCGCAGGCGGUCGUUCAAGUCGCGUGUGAAAGCCCCCGGCUCAACUGGGGAGGGUCACGCGAUACUGAUCGACUCGAAGGCAGGAGAGGGUAGUGGAAUUCCCGGUGUAGUGGUGAAAUGCGUAGAUAUCGGGAGGAACACCAGUGGCGAAGGCGACUACCUGGCCUGUUUCUUGACGCUGAGGCGCGAAAGCUAGGGGAGCAAACGGG